rnacentral:rRNA from 1 species
CGGUCAAAGCAGCCUUUAAUCUAGGUGGCGGGACGGGUGACGGUAACGCGUGGGGAACCCUGCCCUGUACUGGGGGAUAACAGUGACGAAAUCACUGCCUAAUACCGCAUAAGCGCACAGCAUCGACAUGAUGCAGUGUGAAAAACUGAGGUGGUACAGGAUGGCUCCGCGUUGGAUUAGCCAGUUGGCGGGGUAACGGCCCACCAAAGCGACGAUCCAUAGCCGGCCUGAGAGGGUGAACGGCCACAUUGGGACUGAGACACGGCCCAGACUCCUACGGGAGGCAGGCAGUGGGGAAUAUUGCACAAUGGGGGAAACCCUGAUGCAAGCGACGCCGCGUGAAGGAAGAAGUAUCUCGGUAUGUAAACUUCUAUCAGCAGGGAAGAUGAUGACGGUACCUGACUAAGAAGCCCCGGCUAACUACGUGCCAGCAGCCGC